AAGAGAGGUCUGGGACACAAAGAACUGCUAAUUCUUCUUACCGUGGUUCAAAUCCACGGCUCACUUA
rnacentral:tRNA from 1 species